AAAAACAUGUCCUUUUGUUUAUGAUUUAAGGUCUGACCUGCCCAAUGAUUAUUUGAAUGGCCGCAGUAUUUUGACUGUGCAAAGGUAGCAUAAUCAUUAGUUUUUUAAAUGGAAGCUGGUAUGAAUGGUUUGAUGAGAAAAUCGCUGUCUCAGCGUUAUUGUUUUAGAAUUUUAAUUUUAAGUUAAAAAGCUUAAAUUUUUUAUAAAGACGAGAAGACCCUAUAGAGUUUUAUUUUUUUUUUAUCAAAUGGUUUUUUGUUUUUAUUACCUUUUGGUAUGGGAUUAAUUUUGUUGGGGUGAUGUAAAAAUUUAAUUAACUUUUUAUUUAUUUAUACAUUGAUUUAUGAGUUAUUGAUCCUUGUUUUAAGAUUAUAAGAUUAAAUUACCUUAGGGAUAACAGCGUAAUUUUUCUGGAGAGUUCUUAUCGAUAGGGAAGUUUGCGACCUCGAUGU
rnacentral:rRNA from 1 species